CGAGCCAGUUUCCCUUAGAAAGUCCUCCACAAAGGCAUCCCUCCCCUUAGGCAGAUAGCCCUAGUGUGCUUUGCCAUAAUUAAAUACACCACACCACCUGUAUGCUCGGCCGUAUUACAGUCCUGUACAAAGGUAACGAAGUUUUUUUCUUAUUUUUAAACCAGAUUAAUAAUAGAACCUGCAUACAUCAAUGGAUACCGACAACUUCUAUUAACAUUAGUUCAUCAAUUACAAUUUGUAUCAGUACAAAUUGUAAUAGAGCUAUGGAGUAGAUUUUAAACUGGCUAAUCUUUGACUGCGAUGUUAGAUUUUUAUUGAUGGCUUCGACUCUUUAAAGUCGCUGUUUUUCGAGAUAAGCUCGUAAGGUUUAUCCUAAGUUUUUAACAGUUAUCUUUAGUUAAAGCUACUUUCCUGUCCCUUCUAAUUUCAGCUUACAAAUUUCCUGCCAGAGUGUGUUUUUAGAAUCGCGGUUAAUGCAAAUGUAGGAAGAACGGUACUUAAGUCGAAUUUCCUCUGACUUGGUUAGACAGCUAGAGAUUCUGACUAGCACGCAUUUGCCUUUUGGCUACACUCUCUCUAAGCUAUUACUAUGCUCGGCCGUAUUACAGGCCAUUGAAAGCUUCGCCGUUUAAUAAAUAUUUUAGGGGCCAACUCCUUUAGAAUUUUGAUAGCUCCGGCUAUACCUUUUUAGCUAAGCAUUAGUUAAGUUUGGUUUUCUUAGUAAUAUGAGUUUAAGUCCAAGUGGAGGCUUUUCUGUAGGUCCUGAGAAAGGAGCCGUCUGUUAAUCUUUAUUUGAGCAAUAAAGGGUAAUUAACUCUUCUUAAGUUUAUGUUUCUGUUUCCUGAGCUAAAGCGAUUAGUCGCUUACCAAUUCUCGAGGUUCCACACACAUAGCUGUAUAUCCAAGGUUGGAACCCUAUAAGAUUACAAUCCAAAGUUAUUAAUCCAAAAAUUUUACUGAGAGUUAAAGAAAUGUAGAGCAGAAAUUGCAUUAAAAAAUAGAGACCAUAACAAUUUUAAGAUUUUGGAUCAUUUUUAGGCAAAUAUCGAAAGCAAAUUUGAAACAGGUAAUAAUUUUUAUAUAUACAAUUAUUCUGUUAUAUGCAGGGAUUAUGUACAAGUGAUAACUUUUUCCCCUUAAUGAUCUGGUACAUAAUUAUACCAGAUCUACACUAUUUAAUAAAUUAGAUGUACAAGGGUUAUCUUUUUCUCCUUAAUGAUCUGGUUUGCGCUUUCCUAAUAUUUGGAUGAGCAAAAACAUUAUGAUAAAUCAAAUGGAAGUUUACCACCACAAUACUUAUGCAACUACACACAACAUAUAUAAAUCAUUCUGUGUACAAUAAUGGCAUUUUAUUUUAUGCUCUCCCAUGUGGAUAAUAAAUAAAGAGGGAAAAAAGAGGGGAUUCUUAAUGUCCAUUUUUAGACAAUCAAGAGAUUAAAAUUUAAAUAAUGCACAUAGAUAAUACAAAUAAUUUCAAGUUCAGCUCAAAGUGCCAGCUGCUGCCAAAUGAAGGUUUCCAUUGCAACAAUAAGCCUAAUAAUACUAUCAAACAAUCUAGCAGAAUUUUGAUUAUUUUUUAAAGCUGUCGGAGCAUAUUUCACAUUUAAGUGUUUUAAUCUAUUAGAUUGUAUCAAAUAGACUAAAACACUUAUGCUUACAGAGGUUUAAGCCUUAAAAAUGACUUAAUAAGUCAAAAGAAAUAGAUGUAAGCCUUACAAAUAGCCGCAUAUAUAAGAUUAUUGAACACUUUUUUUAUCCAGAGUAUGGCUCUCAGUAAGAGUGAAGGUUGACUAAAUUAGGUUUCCAUGGUUUUCCCCUAUACUUAUUGGUUAAUGGACAGCAAAUUUAAAAGUGACCAAUAUGAUACUAUUUUAAUUUAGGAUCUUGCUUGUCUACUAGGUGGCUGCAAAAUAAUUCCAUAAUCACUAUAAAAAAAUCUAUGUGAUAAACUGUUAAAUAUGGUCCUAAUGGUAAACUAACAGGACUGCAUUUGACUGUAUCUGGUCGCCUAGAAAAUCCGGUGUCCUUAAUUUGAUAAAUUAUAUGAAUGCAAGCUAAUUUUCUUUGCAAAGUCCUCCAAAGGUGACAGCCCUCAAGAGACUUGCUGCAUUAACUAAUCAAAAUAUAAAAGUCUGAUAAAAUUUCAUGGUGAAAGGAAAAAUUAAUGCUAAUAAAAAAAUGGAAAUUAUAUGGAUGACAAAGUUUUAUUGACAAUUUAACAGCUAAAAAUAGAAUUCUGUCAAAUGAACACAAAACUAAGCAUGUUUAAAACAAAAUGAAAGUAAGAAACUCAUGAAAAAUGCAAGACCACACAUAUAACAGAAUUUCAUGACUCUUUGAGAGUAAUUCAUAUGAUACUUUGAACAAAAGAAAUUCAUUUUAAAAUGCAUUUCUUAAUAAAAGUCAGUAUUACAGUAUGUAAAUCACAGAUGAUAGUUCAGAUUCAACAAAAAUACUUCUUUUAAAUAAGAACAAAAUAAAAUACUUUUCUGAUACAUCAAAAGCAUUUGUAAAAUCUCAUAAUACAAAAAAUUACUAUCACACACACAAUGAAUACAAAUUUGAAACCAAAAUAUCAAUGAAAAGCAAUUUAAUUAAUAUAUAUAGCUCGAUAACCAAUACAUUAACGAGGUCAAAAGUAACACUGUAUCCAAUUCACUGAAUGAAUUAUAUAUAAUUUUAAUUUAAAAAUAAAUAGUCAAAAUAAAAUACACAUGCAUAUUUUUAAAAUGCAAAAGCAUUUUCUAGUUUUCACAGAAAUAAAAAAACUUUCCUUAUUUUCAGUUCUUAAACUAUCGCAUCAAAAUAACUGUAAAAAAGUGUUUAACUACAUGUUUAAUCACAGAAAUCAGAUCUUAUGAGUAUAGAAAUGUAAUUUUUUAAAUUUUUUUUACUUUAAAUUUCUGCAGGAACUAUACAUUAAAGUUGCCUGCAGUUUAAAAAUAUUUUGAUUUAUUCCCUUUUGUUUGCAUUACAUUUUUACUAGAAGAAAUUAAAAGCACUUCAAAGGAAUAUAAAUGCUAUAUAACUACAUAAUUUUAAGGGACAAUGCAAUAAUUUUCUAAAAACUAUUUAACCGCUUGAUUAAUAACAAGUAUUGAAAAAGCUAUUGCAGCUACUCGAGCGUGCACACACACGUAGCCCCCCCCAAAAAAAACCCAGUUAAAAUCAGUUUUAUGCCAAAACAAUUGCUUAUUAAUAGCUAAGGAAAGUAAUCUAGAUAUGGGAUAACAUAUAAAAUAACUCUUUUGGGUGUCAAUUUGAUAUAAAUUAGUGAACAAAAAGAAAUUUAAAAAAUAUUAAGGUUCAAAAAAUUUAAAUGAAAAUUAUGCUGGAUUUGGAAUUUCAAUGCACAUGAUAAUGACUAUUAUUUCUCCGAAAUGAGAACACAUGAUUUCCAAAGUUCUGCUUUUAAUUCAAAAUAAAUAAGACAAAUGUAUAAAUAAGUAAACAAACAUCAUUAUCAUCAUUAUCUAAAUACCACUUCUGAACACAUUCAAAAUAUCACAUUCUCUGUCUUGUAGAUUUAUUUAUGAAGAUAAAACACAAUUGAAAUUUUCAGCAGAUACCCUAUUUUGAGCCUAAGUAUUAAUCAUAUUUACUUGCAAAUUAGAUUCACCUUUUUGAUAAAUUUUUUAAUCUAAAAUUUGGUAGGUUCUUAAUAGUUACUUUGACAAAUAAAACUGUAGAAUGACUUUUAAUUAUUAUACUACAAAGAAUAAUUGCACAGUUUAAACACUAAAUAAACCACACUGGUAAUUAUCAUAUAUAUAAACUGCAUAACUAUUAAUUAUAAUAGUUACACCUAGCUAAAUGAUGAUUUGAAUUUAAGGUUGAAUCUACUGCAUUGAUCCCUGGUAUGUUCGAAAACAGACGAAAUAUAUAUAUCAUUAACAAUAUCCUUAUACCACAGUUUAUGAUACUGUUGGAAAUUGUGAAGGAAGAGGAAAAAACACUGAGAAGGAUUAUCUUUAUCAGAAUUACUUGUAAGACAAAAAUAAUUAUUCAGUUACAUUUUUAUUUCUUAAAAUUUAUCUUAAAAUGUAAGAAGGGUUUUAUAUUCAACAAGAAAUUAUUCUCAAGUAUACUAACUAAAAAAAUUUAUUAUUCUAAAUUUGGAAAAAAAAAAAAAAAAAAAAAAA